rnacentral:rRNA from 1 species
AGGACGAACGCUGGCGGCGUGCUUAACACAUGCAAGUCGAGCGGAAAGGCCCUUCGGGGUACUCGAGCGGCGAACGGGUGAGUAACACGUGAGCAACCUGCCCCUGGCUCUGGGAUAGCCUCCGGAAACGGGGAUUAAUACCGGACAUGACCUGCUGCCGCAUGGUGGCGGGUGGAAAGUUUUUCGGCCAGGGUGGGGCUCGCGGCCUAUCAGCUUGUUGGGGGGGUGACGGCCCACCAAGGCGACGACGGGUAGCCGGCCUGAGAGGGCGACCGGCCACACUGGGACUGAGACACGGCCCAGACUCCUACGGGAGGCAGCAGUGGGGAAUAUUGCGCAAUGGGCGGAAGCCUGACGCAGCGACGCCGCGUGCGGGAUGAAGGCCUUCGGGUUGUAAACCGCUUUCACCAGGGGCGAAGCGAGAGUGACGGUACCUGGGGAAGAAGCGCCGGCUAACUACGCGCCAGCAGCCGC